rnacentral:sRNA from 1 species
UAGAGGCGGCGGAGACAGGAAUGGAGCCAAGGCGGCAGAGGCGGGAGGCGGGAGGCGGGCAGCAGCA